UACGUAGGGUGCGAGCGUUGUCCGGAAUUAUUGGGCGUAAAGAGCUUGUAGGCGGUUUGUCGCGUCUGCUGUGAAAAUCCGGGGCUCAACCCCGGACUUGCAGUGGGGUACGGGCAGACUAGAGUGUGGUAGGGGAGACUGGAAUUCCUGGUGUAGCGGUGGAAUGCGCAGAUAUCAGGAGGAACACCGAUGGCGAAGGCAGGUCUCUGGGCCGAUACUGACG
rnacentral:rRNA from 1 species